UAGACUUUACCAUAAAAGGAUUUACUUUGAUAGAGUAAAAAUUAUAAGUCUAU
rnacentral:tRNA from 1 species